UAAGCCAUGCGAGUCGAGAGGGUUCAGACCCUCGGCGGACUGCUCAGUAACACGUGGAUAACCUGCCCUAAGGUGGAGCAUAACCCCGGGAAACUGGGGAUAAUACUCCAUAGAUUAGAGACACUGGAAUGUUCUUUAGUCGAAAGUUCUGGCGCCUUAGGAUGGAUCUGCGGUCGAUUAGGUUGUUGUUGGGGUAACGGCCCAACAAGCCUGUAAUCGAUACGGGUUGUGGGAGCAAGAGCCCGGAGAUGGAAUCUGAGACACGAUUCCAGGCCCUACGGGGCGCAGCAGGCGCGAAAACUUUACAAUGCAGGAAACUGUGAUAAGGGAACUCCGAGUGCCCGUAUACGCGGGCUGUCCAGGUGUUUAAAAAUCAUCUGAAGAAAGGGCCGGGCAAGACCGGUGCCAGCCGCCGCGGUAAUACCGGCGGCUCGAGUGGUGGCCACUAUUAUUGGGCUUAAAGCGUCCGUAGCUGGACCGAUAAGUCUCUUGGGAAAUCCGCCGGCUCAACCGGCGGGCGUCUAAGGGAUACUGUUUUCUAGGGACCGGGAGAGGUGAGGGGUACUGCCGGGGUAGGAGUGAAAUCCUGUAAUCCCGGUGGGACCACCUAUGGCGAAGGCAUCUCACCAGAACGGGUCCGACAGUGAGGGACGAAAGCUGGGGGAGCAAACCGGAUUAGAUACCCGGGUAGUCCCAGCUGUAAACUAUGUGCGUUAGGUGUGUCAGUGACCACGUGUCACUGAGGUGCCGAAGGGAAACCGUGAAACGCACCGCCUGGGGAGUACGGUCGCAAGGCUGAAACUUAAAGGAAUUGGCGGGGGAGCACCACAACGGGUGGAGCCUGCGGUUUAAUCGGACUCAACGCCGGGAAUCUCACCGGAUAAGACAGCUGAAUGAUAGUCGGGAUGAAGACUCUACUUGACUAGCUGAGAGGAGGUGCAUGGCCGUCGUCAGUUCGUACUGUGAAGCAUCCUGUUUAGUCAGGCAACGAGCGAGACCCA
rnacentral:rRNA from 1 species